UACGUAGGGUGCGAGCGUUGUCCGGAAUUAUUGGGCGUAAAGAGCUCGUAGGCGGUCUGUCGCGUCUGCUGUGAAAUCCCGAGGCUCAACCUCGGGCCUGCAGUGGGUACGGGCAGGCUAGAGUGCGGUAGGGGAGAAUGGAGCUCCUGGUGUAGCGGUGGAAUGCGCAGAUAUCAGGAAGAACACCGAUGGCGAAGGCAGUUCUCUGGGCCGUAACUGACGCUGAGGAGCGAAAGCGUGGGGAGCGAACAGG
rnacentral:rRNA from 1 species